rnacentral:rRNA from 1 species
AUGGACAACCACGACGCUCCCAAGCGCAAGCGCGGCCGCAAGCCGAAGCCGCCGGCCGCCGCCGCCGCCCCCGACAACGGCACCCACGACUCCGCCCCCUCGCCCAAGCCCAAGCGCGGCCGCAAGCCCAAGCCGCCGCCCGCCGCCUCCCCUGACAACGACCACCCCUCGUCCCCCCUCGCCGCCGCCGCCGACACCCCGGAGCCAGGUUCCUCCUCCGGAACCCGCGGCCACCGCAAGUCCCGACGCGUCCGCCACGAGCUCCCGUCAGAUGCCGACGCCGCCCUCCGCGCCCCCCCAUCCCGCGCGCCCAAGGGGGCGGCCAACAUGAAGGUGGAGGUCCCGGCGGUGGAGCCGUUGCGGUGGGAGCAGGUGGCGAGGGUGAUGCCGUCCAUGGACGCCGUGGUAAAGGUUUUCUGCGUGCACACGGAGCCGAACUUCUCAAUGCCAUGGCAGCGCAAGAGGCAGUACAGCUCCAGCAGCAGUGGCUUCAUCAUUGGGGGCCGCAGGGUGCUCACCAACGCCCAUUCCGUCGAGCACUACACCCAAGUCAAGCUCAAGAAGCGCGGCUCAGACACCAAGUACCUUGCCACCGUCCUUGCCAUCGGCAACGAAUGCGACAUUGCAAUGUUAACCGUUGAUGACGAUGAAUUCUGGAAAGGAGUUCUGCCGCUGGAGUUUGGAUUGCUGCCAGCACUUCAGGAUGCUGUCACUGUUGUUGGUUACCCUAUUGGAGGAGAUACAAUUUCUGUGACAAGUGGUGUAGUAUCUAGGAUAGAAAUACUCUCAUAUGUUCAUGGUUCUACAGAACUUCUUGGACUACAGAUAGAUGCAGCUAUAAAUUCAGGAAACUCUGGCGGCCCUGCUUUUAAUGAUCAGGGAAAAUGCGUUGGUAUAGCUUUUCAAUCUCUUAAACACGAAGAUGCAGAAAACAUAGGUUAUGUUAUACCCACCCCGGUUAUUAAGCACUUCAUUCAAGACUAUGAGAAAUCUGGAGAGUACACAGGUUUCCCUAUACUUGGGAUAGAAUGGCAGAAAAUGGAAAAUCCUGAUCUCCGUAAGGCAAUGGGAAUGAAAUCUGACCAAAAGGGUGUUCGUAUCAGAAGAAUUGAACCAACUGCUCCUGAAUCUGGAUGCAUGCAACCUUCUGAUAUUAUUCUUAGCUUUGAUGGUAUUGACAUCGCCAACGAUGGCACAGUUCCAUUCAGGCAUGGAGAGCGCAUUGGCUUCAGUUACCUAGUUUCACAGAAGUAUACUGGUGAGAAGGCACGUGUCAAAGUUCUCCGGAGUUCAAAAAUUCAUGAAUUCAACAUAAAGCUAUCAAUCCACAAAAAGCUCAUUCCAGCUCAUAUAAAGGGCAGGCCACCGUCAUACUACAUUGUUGCAGGCUUUGUUUUUAUGGUCGUAUCUGUUCCAUAUCUUCGAUCCGAGUAUGGAAAAGAUUACGAAUUUGAUGCCCCCGUCAAGUUGUUGGACAAGCAUUUACAUGCAAUGGCGCAAUCACCUGAUGAGCAGCUUGUGGUGGUCUCACAGGUGCUUGUGGCAGAUAUCAAUAUUGGUUAUGAAGAACUUGUCAAUACUCAGGUGCGUGCGUUCAAUGGGAAACCAGUAAAUAAUUUGAAGCAGCUGGCGACCAUGGUGGAAGAUUGCAAUGAGGAGUUCUUAAAAUUUGACAUGGAUUACGACCAGGUUGUCGUUCUCGAGACGAAAACAGCUAGGGCUGCUACUCAGGACAUUCUAACAACACACUGCAUACCUUCAGCGAUGUCAGAUGACCUGAAGGCCUGA